rnacentral:lncRNA from 10 species
CACUUGAUGAAAUAUACUUUGGGAAAGGCCAUCUUUUUUGAGGCUCUCUUAGAACCUCUGAUUGUAGCUGGUAUUUUUAAGAGCCCAGAUUCUUCACUGUGGGAGACUACGGCUUUUGAAGAGUCAGCCAACCAGCUUGAGAGUGAAUAUAAUCACCCAUUUUCUAAAAUGAAAGAGGAGACUUGGGACCAGCCUCCGCUGUGUGGUACCGAGCAAGAGCAGCUGCAGACAUGCAGAGCUGGUUUUCAACUCAGGCGAGGCAGUGUAUCAGCUGUGUAACCCUAGCAAUUCCUUCAACCCCUCUGCAGCUGUCUCUCCCCCUGCAAAAUGUAACAAUUGCUGCUGUGCCCCCUUACGGGAUGCUGAAAAAAGUUAAGUAAGAUCAAAUGAGUUUGUAUCUGGAAAACAUCAUGAUGGGAGGUUGAACUUGGUGGUAUAAGGGUAGAAAAUUGUGAUAUCUUUCCUUCCCAUAGAAGGCGGACAGCUAACACUCUUAAAGCACAAGACAGGUUAACAAAAGAAAAGCAUAACAAAUCUAUUUAAUCAAAGUUGUGUGUGACACAAGAGCCUUCAGAAGUGAAGGUCUAAAGAUCCAGGGGAAACUGUUUUUAUGUUUAGGUUGGAUAAAGAACGGAUAGCCAUGUAGAACUGUGAUUGGACAGGUUAUGAUCUAAUGGUAAUAGACUGAAGGGGAAACCCCGCAAGACCUGUCUGUUCAGGUUCUUCUUGGUCUCUCUGCAUAGCAUUCCUUUCCUGUCCAGUAGAGGUUAGGACACCUGUUACAUGAAGGUCCUCAAGAGAGAAGGGACAAAGUUACCUUUCUAGGUUUUAUGACUUGCUUUGCGGAAGAAGACUUUUAGUUUCUAUGACCCAACUUGGUGAAGAAGAAUUCUGGUUUCUAUGACUCACUUUGCAGAGGGUAGUGGGGAAGACAGGAGAAUGGGAGGAGAUCAAGAUGUUGAAGAGAUCUUGUUUCUGAGGCAUGCAUGAACUCCUGGGCUCAAGUGAUCCUCCUGCCUCAGCCUCCCAAGUAGCUGGCACUAUAGGUGUGCCACCAUGCCCAGCUAAUUAAAACAAUUUUUAAAAAUUUUUUUGUCUGUGUUGCUUAGCCUGGUCUCAAACUCCUGGCCUCAAGCAAUCCUACUGCCUCAGCCUCCCAAAAUGCUGGGAUAUAGGUGUGAGCUACCAUACCUGGCCCAUUUCACUGUUCUUGAUCUAUAAAUGUCUGUUCUUCAGGUUAUAAUGUAUGCCUGAUUCAAUCCUUCACUGAUCAAUGAAUAAAAUAUUUAACAUGUAUUUAUCUAUCUAUCUAUCUAUCUAUAUAUAUAUGAAUGACAGUGAUAAUUUUAAUUUUCACAGAGGGUAAGUAAGACCCUGCCUGUUUCCUUCCAAAUUUCUUCAUGGUCCAAGUAUCUUUAUGUAAUCACAGAAGACUGAGGGAAUAAUGACACCAUUUCAGGAUUUAAAAAAUAAUUGUGAAACAUUCCUUGAAGAGACCUUCCUCCACAUAAAGACAGCAGCAUCAGCUGCUCAACAGACACCCCUUGGUGAACAAGAUAGAGGCUCUCCAGGCAAGUCACAAGCAAGACUGCAACUGCAGUCAGGUUCUGUGGUCAGCCACAGAGGGACCUAAGGCAGCAGCAGUGGCUCAAGGAGAGCUGCAUCUACAGCUGAAGCUGAAGGAUUCUGAUGGACAUCAGACCUAGCUAUGGACAGAGGGGUAACCUGAAGAACUGAGGAAUGCAUGAGUCUGAGCCAAGGGGGCCUCAAGCCUACAGAUCUUUCUUGUCAUUAUUAAUGGCAUCCACAUUCUUUGAAUAUCCUCCUUAAGGCAGAUGUGGGGCUGAGGGGAAUUAAGAAUUAGGUUACUGUGUACUAUAUUCAAGAAGUUCUUAUUGUCAACUUAAAUAAAGACAGAGAAAAUUAUGUCUGAAUAUGUUGCGUUUACUCAGGAUUAUAAUCUGGAAUGCACAGAAUGGCAAGCCACCAGCCUGUUUGGUGAGAGAAGG